UCCGGCGUAGCUCAAUGGUAGAGCACGCGGCUGUUAACCGCGGGGUUACAGGUUCGAGUCCUGUCGCCGGAGCCA
rnacentral:tRNA from 1 species